rnacentral:rRNA from 1 species
AUUGAACGCUGGCGGAAUGCUUUACACAUGCAAGUCGAACGGCAGCACGGACUUCGGUCUGGUGGCGAGUGGCGAACGGGUGAGUAAUGUAUCGGAACGUGCCCAGUCGUGGGGGAUAACGUAGUGAAAAUUACGCUAAUACCGCAUACGAUCUAUGGAUGAAAGCGGGGGAUCGCAAGACCUCGCUCGAUUGGAGCGGCCGAUAUCAGAUUAGGGAGUUGGUGGGGUAAAGGCCCACCAAGCCAACGAUCUGUAGCUGGUCUGAGAGGACGAUCAGCCACACUGGAACUGAGACACGGUCCAGACUCCUACGGGAGGCAGCAGUGGGGAAUUUUGGACAAUGGGCGAAAGCCUGAUCCAGCCAUUCCGCGUGCAGGAUGAAGGCCCUCGGGUUGUAAACUGCUUUUGUACAGAACGAAAAGGUUUCUACUAAUACUAGGAGCUCAUGACGGUACUGUAAGAAUAAGCACCGGCUAACUACGUGCCAGCAGCCGCCGUAA